CAGCAGCCGCCGCGGGAAUACGGAGGGAGCUAGCGUUGUUCGGAAUUACUGGGCGUAAAGCGCACGUAGGCGGCUUUGUAAGUUAGAGGUGAAAGCCUGGAGCUCAACUCCAGAACUGCCUUUAAGACUGCAUCGCUUGAAUCCAGGAGAGGUGAGUGGAAUUCCGAGUGUAGAGGUGAAAUUCGUAGAUAUUCGGAAGAACACCAGUGGCGAAGGCGGCUCACUGGACUGGUAUUGACGCUGAGGUGCGAAAGCGUGGGGAGCGAACAGGAUUAGAUACCCCAGUAGUCCCUGUCUCUUAUAC
rnacentral:rRNA from 1 species